GUGUCAAGCCUGAGAACACAGGACUGAUGCCAUGGGCAUUCGUUGAAUGGUGCAGAGUCUGCCCCAACCAGACUGGCAGCAAACUCCGAGUACAAAACUCCUGAAGACCUGCUUGGCCAAUGGCUAGUGGGCAGAUGCCCAAGAAAGGGAGGCUGCAGUGUUCCUGCAAGGCAGCUCAGAGUCCUUGGAAAGACUCCAGACUGCAAGGAUGGCAGUGGCCAGGGACAGGACAAAGAAUGGGCUUGCUGGCAGGUUUCCAACUCAAGGGUACAGCUGGCCAAGCCCAGGUUGGGCAGAGAGCCACCAGCACUGGGGAUGAGGAGUUGGCUGAGGUGGGGCUUAGAACAAGAUGGCCACAAGCCACUCAGAAUACGCUGUGUGAAUGAUGAAGCGGCUGGGAGUCGGUGAGUGAGUCAUACGUGAAUAAGGCUCAGCUUGGAGAGCAUGCCCUGGAGAAACAACAGAACACCAACACAUGCAGCAAUGGCAUCUGGACACUAAAGCACGAGCUGUAAAUGAUCCUGUUCAAAAGAAAACGAGCAGAUGAUACUCUUAACAGAUUGGAUGAGGCCCAGCUACAUCAAGGAGGGUGGUCUCCUUUACUCAAUCUCAUCUUCAGUGUCAUCUGGAAAUUUCCUCACGGACACAUCUGUAAAUAAUAUUCAACCAGAUAUCUGGCGCCCUAGGACUACAACAAGGUGCCGUGUGAAAUUAACUUUCACAGUUGCUAGACAGGGUUUUGUUACCCGGCAUGUCCCUUCCUUGCUGCAGCAGCCUUAUUGGAAGUCUCCUGCUUUGUGGUGUGUGGGUGUUGGGGCUGUUUGCAGAAUGCAGGUUGCGAGCACCCCAGACACUCUCACAGAUGUACAGGAGCUGUGUGGUGGGAACAGAACUCCCUCCCUGCCCACUCUCGCAGUACUUUAAACCUGACCUCAGAUGAUAAUUUUAUUGCCCACCAUCUCGGGCACUGCAAAAAGGAUGCACUUCUGUCUGCCUUAUGUUGCUUAGCUUUUUCAUAAGCCCUGGUCUCUGGCAGGGUCCCAGUCCAGGAGACAGCUUUAAGGAAGAAGUAGAGUAGAGCGAAUGCACGCAGAACUUCAGGUCAUCUCUACUACGUGAUAAUGAGCCCCUAGACCGUUCAGAGAAAUUGGUUGUGAUAACAGGAGACGAAAAAAGCAGCAGACACCCAGAGAGACACGGUGUUUCUCUUGUGAAUAUCUCACAGAUUUGAUCACAAAUUCAAGCAUUUGAUGCUCACAAGAAUCAAAAGAAGCAGGAGAGGAAGAAUCUAGGGAGCGCCAGCUACCAGGCUGUGGGUCCCGUCCCCGUACCAAAAGAAGAAACACAAAAACAAAAAUCAGUGGUCAGAUUGUGUCACUAAAGAUGACGAAGCUGAGGCAGCAGGAAGAGAAGUGCCAGCGCUGGCACGUGGGAAGGGCAGACCCCAUUUAUACCUUCUGUACUCCACACUGUAGUCGCUUGGGGACAGCUGGAUGCAGAAAAUCACGAGAGUCACUAAGAGAGAGCCUUAGCCCAUUAUUAGAUGCUUGGGAAGGAAUAAGAGAAUGUAAUUUUUAAAAAUGUAACAGUUUAGGGUUUUAUUUCACAGAAAAAUCUGACAGUAAUGGGGAUCACUCAUUGGAGCGUUAAGUAAUUGGAGCCAGGUAGAGAAAAGACAGGUCCCAGCCUGGCUUUGGACUCCAGUUGACACAAGAGGUAUGUGACAAUGGUCUCAUGCUGGGUGUAGCAGCAGGCCACAAAAUCGUGUGUCAGGAAGAGCCAAGGGACUCAGAGCUGGGACGCAGGGGAGAAAGCAUAUUCUGGCAGACCUAGGUCACAUGUGGAGCAGGGCCACAAGGUUAAUGCUGUCCAGACCUGGCCACUCUCGGGAAUCGGGAGUCUCAGGGUUGGAUCAGUGACACCUGAAGUUACCAAGUACUACAGGACAAGUGACAGAGAGCAGCUUCUCAAGGAAAUCCUGGGUGGCUGACUGUGGGUUCACAGGAUGAGUGUUGUGGACGAGUUUGUUGAAAACAAGAGACAAAAGAGAGCAUAUUCAGAGAUUAGUAUUAUCUCAUAUACUUACUAUUGAAAAGUUUAAACCAUUACCAUGCUUCAACUGAACAAUUUAGAAGUGCAUUUCCACAUCAGAAUUGGCAUCACUCCUGUUCACUAAUUCAUAUUCCCAGAAUUCUGUGCCAACGAAACAAAAAUCACAAAGAUGGAUGAACUAGAAAAAUAGGGGAUUCAUGAAAUAAGUUGUGAGUUAUCUAUAUAAAGCAAAGUCCCAGCUAGUUAAAAUGAUGUUGAAUGUUUAUGGAAAAUAUAGUAAAUGGAAAGGAAAAUUAGAAAAUGUGUAAAUUAGGUGACAAUCCAAUCCACUUAACUAAAAUAUUUUCCUUAAUGAAGUUGUUUGAAUCAGUUAACAGCUAAAUCUGUUGCUAACCUCUGUAGUAGCCAUAGGUCUACAGCAGAAUGGCAAUAGCCAUGGACAGCAUUCAGCCCCGAAGAUGCCGCAAUGCUGAGUUGCUCCUUCAUGGCCAUUUCAAGGUCAAUAUGAUAGAAGCCCUGAGGUGGUGCUUCCUGGGUCCCCAUGGAUAGUACACAGGACUGGAUCCUAGAUGCUGACCCUGUCCUUCCAUCCCCAGUUUUUAUUGACUUUGCUUUCAAUUAAGGUCCAAUCAUGAGAUCAUUGGUAGCCAGUGUGAUGCCUCAGCUUUCCUUGCUACAGAAAACCCACGUGGACUGGAAAAUUUCAGCAUUGUUGACCACGGCCCUGAAACAGAUUCUAGUCACCAAAAGGCCUGGUCAAAAAAAAAAAAAAUGAAAAAGAAAAAUAAAACAAUCAGCUGUGUUGAUGUGUCUCUCAACCCAUACUGGGUGUUCUAGCUUGCCGUGAUAAACACUGACCAAAAGUAACUUUGAGAGGAAAGAGUUCAUCUCA